rnacentral:rRNA from 1 species
UACGAAGGGGGCUAGCGUUGUUCGGAUUUACUGGGCGUAAAGCGCACGUAGGCGGAUCGUUAAGUCGGGGGUGAAAUCCUGGAGCUCAACUCCAGAACUGCCUUCGAUACUGGCGAUCUUGAGUCCGGAAGAGGUGAGUGGAACUCCGUAGUGUAGAGGUGGAAUUCGUAGAUAUUAGGAAGAACACCAGUGGCGAAGGCGGCUCACUGGUCCGGUACUGACGCUGAGGUGACGAAAGGCGUGGGGAGCAAACAGG